GAUGAACGCUGACAGAAUGCUUAACACAUGCAAGUCCACUUGAAUUUGGGUUUUUAACUUAGGUUUGGGUGGCGGACGGGUGAGUAACGCGUAAAGAACUUGCCUCACAGCUAGGGACAACAUUUGGAAACGAAUGCUAAUACCUAAUAUUAUGAUAAUAGGGCAUCCUAUAAUUAUGAAAGCUAUAAGCGCUGUGAGAGAGCUUUGCGUCCCAUUAGCUAGUUGGAGAGGUAACGGCUCACCAAGGCGAUGAUGGGUAGCCGGCCUGAGAGGGUGAUCGGCCACAAGGGGACUGAGACACGGCCCUUACUCCUACGGGAGGCAGCAGUGGGGAAUAUUGGACAAUGGACCGAGAGUCUGAUCCAGCAAUUCUGUGUGCACGAUGAAGUUUUUCGGAAUGUAAAGUGCUUCCAGUUGGGAAGAAACAAAUGACGGUACCAACAGAAGAAGUGACGGCUAAAUACGUG
rnacentral:rRNA from 1 species